GAAAAUUCUUAGAGAAAAAAAAAUAAUUACGUGAUAUUUGUUGUCGAUUUACAGGUUUGUAAUUACAUCUAUAUAAACACUCACUAAAAUUUCUACAAUAAUAUAUAGCAUGUGGUCCCGGGUUCCAGCCCCGACUCAUUGUCAGCAGUGAACAGUACUGUUAGCCCGGGUCUACAAUGAGAGUUUUAAGACUUAAAAUUUAAGAACUUGGCCAAUCAUAUUCGUUAUUCUUCUCUAAAUUCAAUUGUUGUUAGUUAAUUUCUUAAGUCUUAAAUCUUAAAACUGUUAUUGUAGACCCGGCCUUACGCAGUACGCACACAUCGCACACAAGCGAGUCUCGUACAUAUAAGGUGCGUUCCGUGUUACGCAUAUGUGCGCAUUUAUCUAUAGUACACGUCACGUUUACUACAGAAAAUGCGCUCAUAUACAUGAAACGGAAUGCGGCCAUAAUGCGCACAGUUCUGCGCAUUGAGUAUGGUCAGUGGUCCGCGUGUUUAUAUUACUGCACGUGGAGUACGUGUUAAAUAUCUAAAAAGUUAUUAACAGUGGUGAACGAUAAUCAUGGAUGGAAAUUAUUAGUCAUCCUAAAGUCUGUUGUUGUGUCCGUAAACAUGUUUAAACAGUUUGGACAUUAUUUUUGUGCUUUCACUGAUCAUUCGGAUAUUUCACUGACCGACCACGUGUACCGACUAGCGAAUAGUGUACGCAUAUCCUUUGUUCUUUAGUGGUUCCGGAUCCUUUCCUUUGCAAGCUUGCAUUUUUUUUGUCAAUAUUACCACAUUCGGGAUAAAAUUGCAAUUAUGUCUGACAGCGAUAAUGAUGAACAAAUAGUUCAUUGAUUCAAAAUUGUGAGGUUUAUUAAAUGCGCAGAAAAGGUUCCACAAAAGAGAUUGAUAUCGUUCCUUCAACUUGAAUUAAUUGGGAUAAAAACACUAAACGAUUGAAAGUUCCAUUUCUUCCACCUCCAUAUACAACAGAAGGGAUAAAUAAUCUCCAUGAUUUGGUUAAAAGCGAAGUGGAAGCACCAGAGUCAUGGCCACUGUUCAGUGUUGACAUUGUUGGUCAAGCAAAAACAUAUUCAGAUGCUGUUGAUCGCUUAAUGCUUCUUGAUCAAAAGGAGACUCCUUUUUCACAGGAUUCGGAAGAUAACGAACUAAAAAUUAAGAAAGCACAAGCAAUUUAUCAACAAAAGAUUUAAAAAAAGUGCGGAAGAAAUUAAAGAAAGUUUUAGUAGAACUCCUAUGUUUACAAAAAAAUCUUGUAGUCAGUCAGAUAUGAUUAUAUUUUAAAAUACCAACGUAAACCUGUCAAGUCAUCCAAGUCAUCAAUGAAUACCAAAGAUGAAGUACAAAUAUCUUCGUAGUAAUACUAUUGUAAGCGAGUUAAGUAAGGCCAUGUUUUUUAUUUCAUUGAUGGAUCAAGCGCAUGAUGCGCAAAUGCUACACGUGCAGAUUUGCGCAUAAUGCGCUUGAUCCAUCAAUGAAUUAAAAAACAUGGCCUAAAGCUCACGGGCUACAAGUCAUUUUACUGUACAAUUAUAGUUUAGUUAAAGUUCAACAUGUAAAAUUAAUAA